rnacentral:rRNA from 1 species
CGAUUACGGGAGGCAGCAGUGGGGAAUAUUGCACAAUGGGCGCAAGCCUGAUGCAGCGACGCCGCGUGAGGGAUGGAGGCCUUCGGGUUGUAAACCUCUUUCGCCAGUGAAGCAGGCCUGUCCCUUUUGUGGGUGGGUUGACGGUAGCUGGAUAAGAAGCGCCGGCUAACUACGUGCCAGCAGCCGCGGUAAUAUCG